CGCGCGCUAUUUAAAAAUCUACGACGAGCAAUUCAUUCUUCGUGCUCGGAAGGAAAAUCAUCAGAUCUGGAUCAGAGAUAAAGUAAGAGAAUGCUAAAGGAGGACGGAAGCAUCCGGACGAUGAGUAUCCGAUGAUCGAUAACGGUGAAGAUGGCGGCGAGCAGGGCGGAGAAGCAGAUUUCUCCGCAGCGGACACCAGUAUUGUGGAUUUUGCUACAUCAUCCUCCAAAAGGCCCCGCUGCUUUGCUCUCGCAUUCAACAGCUCCAUAUCGAGCUUCUCGAUGCAUUGCUUUAAUCAAGUUGCAACUUCUUUAUGAGGUGAUACUGUAAAGGACAACAAAGUACUAAUGGACCAGUUCCAUUGUGUCCCCACUGCUUUUCUGGAGUUGGAGCCUUGGAUCUGAUAAAUUAUUAAGAGGGGCAAUUGAUGAUAUUACCAUGAGGAUGGGUGCAAUGGAGAAGAAUCCAAGCACUUAAAAAUGGAAGAGGUCUACAAUCUAAAAAUGUUGCGGUAGUAAUGAUAUCUGAGCAAAGGCAAAUGACAACCAUUAAUGUAUGCGGACGGACUCAAGCUUGAGAUCUAGCACAAAGAAAGCAUGCCAAGUUGACUAUAUGGGUGUCGUCAAAUGACAACGAUUAAUGUAUUAGAAUCAUGCCAAUGUCAAUCAAUUUCCUAUAUCAUAUGUAGAUUUCUGAAAAAAUACCUAAUACUUGUGCA